rnacentral:rRNA from 1 species
AGCGAACGUUAGCGGCGCGCCUAACACAUGCAAGUCGCACGGAGUAGCAAUACUCAGUGGCGCACGGGUGCGUAACACGUAGAUAACCUGCCCUGAAGAGGGGGAUAACGUUCCGAAAGGAGCGCUAAUACCGCAUAACGCUGAGACGGGUUCGCCUGUUUCGGACAAAGGCUGGGACCAGCAAUGGCCAGUCGCUUUAGGAGGGGUCUGCGGCCCAUCAGCUAGUUGGUAAGGUAAUGGCUUACCAAGGCAAAGACGGGUAGCUGGUCUGAGAGGAUGAUCAGCCACACUGGUACUGGAACACGGACCAGACUCCUACGGGAGGCAG